rnacentral:rRNA from 1 species
GACGAACGCUGGCGGCGUGCUUAACACAUGCAAGUCGAGCGAUGAAGUUCCUUCGGGAAUGGAUUAGCGGCGGACGGGUGAGUAACACGUGGGUAACCUGCCUCAUAGAGGGGAAUAGCCUUUCGAAAGGAAGAUUAAUACCGCAUAAGAUUGUAGUAUCGCAUGACACAGCAAUUAAAGGAGUAAUCCGCUAUGAGAUGGACCCGCGUCGCAUUAGCUAGUUGGUGAGGUAACGGCUCACCAAGGCGACGAUGCGUAGCCGACCUGAGAGGGUGAUCGGCCACAUUGGGACUGAGACACGGCCCAGACUCCUACGGGAGGCAGCAGUGGGGAAUAUUGCACAAUGGGGGAAACCCUGAUGCAGCAACGCCGCGUGAGUGAUGACGGUCUUCGGAUUGUAAAGCUCUGUCUUCAGGGACGAUAAUGACGGUACCUGAGGAGGAAGCCACGGCUAACUACGUGCCAGCAGCCGCGGUAA